GCCUGGCUGGCUCAGUCAGUAGAGCAUGUGAUUCUCAAUCUCAGGGUGUGAGUUCAAGCACACACUGGGCA
rnacentral:tRNA from 1 species